UACGUAGGGGGCAAGCGUUGUCCGGAUUUAUUGGGCGUAAAGGGCGCGUAGGCGGGCUGGCAAGUCGGUCGUGAAAUCCUUCGGCUCAACCGAAGAACGUCGGCCGAUACUGCCGUUCUUGAGGGAUGCAGAGGAGAUUGGAAUUCCCGGUGUAGCGGUGAAAUGUGUAGAGAUCGGGAGGAACACCGGUGGCGAAGGCGGGUCUCUGGGCAUCUCCUGACGCUGAGGCGCGAAAGCGUGGGGAGCAAACGGG
rnacentral:rRNA from 1 species